UACGGAAGGCAGCAGUGGGGAAUAUUGCACAAUGGGCGCAAGCCUGAUGCAGCCAUGCCGCGUGUAUGAAGAAGGCCUUCGGGUUGUAAAGUACUUUCAGCGGGGAGGAAGGCGAUGUGGUUAAUAACCGCGUCGAUUGACGUUACCCGCAGAAGAAGCACCGGCUAACUCCGUGCCAGCAGCCGCGGUAAUACGGAGGGUGCAAGCGUUAAUCGGAAUUACUGGGCGUAAAGCGCACGCAGGCGGUCUGUUAAGUCAGAUGUGAAAUCCCCGGGCUUAACCUGGGAACUGCAUUUUGAACUGGCAGGCUUGAGUCUCGUAGAGGGGGUAGAAUUCCAGGUGUAGCGGUGAAAUGCGUAGAGAUCUGGAGGAAUACCGGUGGCGAAGGCGGCCCCUGGGACGAAGACUGACGCUCAGGUGCGAAAGCGUGGGGAGCAAACGAGGAUUAGAUACC
rnacentral:rRNA from 1 species